UCUCUUGGUUUGCUGGCAGUGUACGUGAUAUGUAUAUUUCUUGGUUUGAUGGCAGUGUACGUGACAACAGAUUAAAACUAUACAUAUCACGUACACUGCCAUCAAACCAAGAAAU